AAAUUGAUCUCCCCGUGCAGAAGCUGGGAUAAUACCAUAAGACGAGAAGACCCUAUGGAGCUUUAGACAUAUCAGGUUUACGUCACUGCCCCCUAGAUAAAGGAGUGAACUAAUUAUAUACCUUGAAAAUGUUUUUGGUUGGGGCGACCACGGGAAAAGAAAUAACUCCCACGGCGAAGAAGUACAAACUUUUAAAGCUAAGACAAUCAAGUCUAAGCCAUAGAAAUUCUAACAAAUGAUCCGGCUUGCCGAUCAACGAAACGAGUUACCCUAGGGAUAACAGCGCAAUCCCCUUUAAGAGACCUUAUCAGCAAGGGGGUUUACGACCUCGAUGUUGGAUCAGGACAUCCUAAUGGUGCAGCCGCUAUUAAGGGUUCGUUUGUUCAACGAUUAAAGUCCUACG
rnacentral:rRNA from 1 species